UGCCAUUUCAAAUGGUUGCUCGUAUUGCCGUUGAUGCCAUAUCAAUUUUUCAGAAGAUUCACUCCAAAGGCUUUGUACAUGGUGAUGUCAAACCUGAAAACUUUUUGCUCGGUCAGCCUGGAUCUGCUCAAGAAAAUAAGCUUUUUCUCAUAAAUUUUGGCUUAGCAUCCAACUGGAAAAGAGGAUCAUUCAGCAAGCAUGUUCAGUAUGACCAGAGGCCAGACAUAUUUAGG